rnacentral:rRNA from 1 species
GGACCCGACUGCUAUCAGAGUGGGACUAAGCCAUGCGAGUCAACAUAGCAAUAUGUGGCAUACGGCUCAGUAACACGUAGUCAACAUGCCCAGGGGACGUGGAUAACCUCGGGAAACUGAGGAUAAACCGCGAUAGGUCAUCACUUCUGGAAUGGGUAAUGACUUAAAUCUAUAUGGCCCCUGGAUUGGACUGCGGCCGAUCAGGCUGUUGGUGAGGUAAUGGCCCACCAAAACCUGUAACCGGUACGGGCUCUGAGAGGAGGAGCUCGGAGAUGGGCACUGAGACAAGGGCCCAGGCCCUAUGGGGCGCAGCAGGCGCGAAACCUCUGCAAUAGGCGAAAGCUUGACAGGGUUACUCUGAGUGAUUUCCGUUAAGGAGAUUUUUUGGCACCUCUAAAAAUGGUGCAGAAUAAGGGGUGGGCAAGUCUGGUGUCAGCCGCCGCGGUAAUACCAGCACCCCGAGUGGUCGGGACGUUUAUUGGGCCUAAAGCAUCCGUAGCCGGUUCUACAAGUCUUCCGUUAAAUCCACCUGCUUAACAGAUGGGCUGCGGAAGAUACUAUAGAGCUAGGAGGCGGGAGAGGCAAGCGGUACUCGAUGGGUAGGGGUAAAAUCCGUUGAUCCAUUGAAGACCACCAGUGGCGAAGGCGGCUUGCCAGAACGCGCUCGACGGUGAGGGAUGAAAGCUGGGGGAGCAAACCGGAUUAGAUACCCGGGUAGUCCCAGCUGUAAACGAUGCAGACUCGGUGAUGAGUUGGCUUAUUGCUAACUCAGUGCCGCAGGGAAGCCGUUAAGUUUGCCGCCUGGGGAGCACGGUCGCAAGACUUAAACUUAAAGGAAUUGGCGGGGGAGCACCACAAGGGGUGAAGCCUGCGGUUCAAUUGGAGUCAACGCCGGAAAUCUUACCGGGGGCGACAGCAGAGUGAAGGUCAAGCUGAAGACUUUACCAGACAAGCUGAGAGGAGGUGCAUGGCCGUCGCCAGCUCGUGCCGUGAGGUGUCCUGUUAAGUCAGGUAACGAGCGAGACCCCUGC